rnacentral:rRNA from 1 species
UACGAAGGGUGCAAGCGUUACUCGGAAUUACUGGGCGUAAAGCGUGCGUAGGUGGUUCGUUAAGUCUGAUGUGAAAGCCCUGGGCUCAACCUGGGAAUGGCGAUGGAUACUGGCGAGCUAGAGUGUGUCAGAGGAUGGUGGAAUUCCCGGUGUAGCGGUGAAAUGCGUAGAGAUCGGGAGGAACAUCAGUGGCGAAGGCGGCCAUCUGGGACAACACUGACGCUGAAGCACGAAAGCGUGGGGAGCAAACAGG